CCGCUCGGCCCCGCCGCCGCCGGACCCCCGGCCGGGGAUUGGGAGGGGGGGGGCGCGGUCCCAGCCAUGUGCCUUCAACCACUCUGGAGAAAUGUUGGGAGGAGCUCUCAGUGCGAUCCUUUCCAUACCUUCCAAGGAUUUUUAGGAUCGUGGGAUUUAUGGACCUGCAAAAUCCUCUGGAGAACAUCAGCCACCGACAAAACCAUCUGGAAAUUCCUGCUGUCUUUUUGCCCUGUCUUUCCUGAGUCACCGAGUCUUGGGAAGGAAGCAUCUCUGCUCUGAGGAUUACAGCAAAUCAGUUGCUUGCCGUCCUUACUGGAAUACCUUCCCUUUCAGUUGCUCAGAACAUAGCAAUUACUGAAGAAGGCAGAAGGAUAUUUUUUCCCUUUCACCGAGCUUUUGCAGCGCAGCAGUGGCUGUGUCCGGCUAUGUAGAUGGUUUCCACAUUCUCUACCCAAUUUCUUUUCCUGAUGUUUAGGAACUGAAUCAUUCUGUUUCCCUACUAGCCUCUGCUAAAGGUCUCGCUUGACUGCAAAAAGGAGAAAGGAGGAGUGUGUGCAGGGAGUUCAGGUCCUGCUGUGGCUUCUUGGGAAGUGAGGAGGAAUAAAGAAGGUAGGAUAACCAAGGUCAGCACCUCACUUCAAGCUAUCAGUUGGACUGCUUGCGGGUGAGAGAUAUUAAGUUACCAUGUGUGUGUAAUUUAUCCUUUGUGCUGGUGACCAAGUAAUCCAGUAAAAUGGCAGCAAAAAGGAUAGGGAAGUUAUGAAAAUUUGUGCUGUAAACUGAACUGGCAGGAUUACACUCAGAGCUGUGUUUGGUUAUCAGGUGUCACAUUGUCUUUAGAAAGCACCUGAGAGGGAUUUUACUCAAAGUUUUGCAAUAGAAGUCUCAGUGCCCGUAAGUGGGGCAGAGCGCGUCUUUUCAAACAGGGGCUGUGUUGUUCCCUAUCUGGGUGCUCUUCACAAGUUUUGGGCAUGCCGGUUCUGAUUAUGGCUUGCAUUUAUUAUUGCUUAAUGUAAUUAAUGCCAUUGUUUGAAAUUGAUUAAUUAUUAUUUAAUAUCAUAGUAUCUGUCAUUACAGCUUACUUCUACCUUGUAUUUAUUAUCCUCAUCUUUAUAGUAGUGUUGCUAAAUGCUUCCUAGACCUGGGAUGCAUGUGUGCCUCCUUUGAUAUCCUUAGGCACAUUAUCCAAUUGCAGAUUACAGGUGCUGACAACUGUCUGACCCAUUUUCUUUUGUUUGCAGCCUCAUUUUGCACCUUAACUUGGUUUUUGUGAAGUAAUUGAGCUAAAUACAGUAUUAUUUUAGUCUAAUUUAUACACAUUUGACAUUAUUAACGUUCUUGCUUUAUCUGGGUUAAUUCUCAAGGAUGGCAUCCUGGCAUUCUCUGCCAACAGUACUUUCUGUGUACUUAAUAUAGAAUUAGCCUUAAAGGAAUGGGUUUUGAAAACUUAUUUCCAAUCUUCUGCUUAUUUUUGCCGUGUCUGGUCUGCUGACUUUAAGAAAAUUGCACUUCAGAAGAAGGCUGCCUUGACAACACUCUGUACACUAUAUGAUGCCAAGGAAAUAAUUUGCUGCAGAACCCCUAAUACACACAGUCCUUGUUUUCUUUCUUUCUUUCUUUCUUUUGUUUUUUCCUAGGAUAUCUGCUAUGGACCUUCUGGCUGAUUUUUCUCUUGUAAGAUCCAGAGCGAUCAUUGCCUGUCGUGGUAUGUGGGGCUUCAAGCCAAGAAUAUCCACUAUUUUUGAAGCAUGAUCAUUACUGUUCAAAAUAGGCCUUUUUUCCAUGAUCUUAUAAGAUUUUGCCUCUUCUCUAAUAAGCUAAUUUUAUCCCUGCUUUGGCAUCUGUACUCCUUGGUGUUAUUUUGGUGUGUACUUUAUAUAUAUCAUAUAUAGCUCUGUGCACACAUGCAUCACUGUACGUGGUUUAUACAAGCUUGUCUUGUCUGCGCUGUCAGAGGGAAAUCAUUCUCACUUUUGUGAUGGGGGUGUCAGGUCAGAUGUGUCGAGUCCAUUGCCAGACCUUUCUGUGACCUGUCCCAGUUUGCUUCCCAUCAUCCCUAAAUGAUAUCAUUGCUUCACCCAGGCAAGAGAAGAUGUGUACCAUCCACCACUCUUGCUGUAUGAAAGCAAGGGGUGCCUUUAUGACCUGCAACUUCUGCUUCUCUGUCAGCUGUUACUGGAAUGAUGGCCUGUGUCACUGGAGACUGCUUCAGAAAGUUUGUGAGACAGACACUAAGUCUAGUGAAUGGAAGAAAAUAUUUGUCACUGUCUUUAUUUGUCACUGCACCCACAGUCCUUAUUUCUAGAAAAAAAAAAAAAAGACUUAAGUUGUACAGCCAUCUUCUCUUCCUUCUUGUCCUCCAUCCUCACAUCUUAUUUUAAUGAGUAAUUUUGAAUGGAUCUGCAUCAAGAUGGAAUUUUGCCUUGCUUUGGAUAGUAUUCAACUAAGUAACUAAAAUUUCCUUCUGAGGUAGUGGGGUAGGGAUGGAUUUGGAUGGUGCUAGGACCUUGUGCUCCAACUUAAUAACAGGAGAAGAGGAAUCCAACAGCACCAAUGUGUUCUUGGGGCAGAAAAGGAGCCAGAUUUAACCCUAAGGUCAAGUGAUGGAAGAAAAGUGAUCCCUCAUGGUCAACUCCAACCUGAAGGAGCCCAAGGAGCAUGAUGACCAUUUGAAUGACUCAUCUUUUGGUCCUGUUCAGAAGAUGAUGUUCUUAUUGCAUGGACAUUAAUGACCUUUGUUUCAUUGCCUUGUCUUUAAGGACUCAAGAUGGUGUUUGCAGAGGAGAUAGAGACCUGGUCUGCCAUGACCGUGUCAGUUUUAUGUAUUUGCAUAAUGUAAAUGCCAGCCCAGCUGAAUUGUGACAGGUGUAUUUGCUGUAGGCAAAUAAAGGUUUUCAAGAAGCUCUGGAGUUUCUAGUUUGAUAACCUGAGAAUGGGUACUUAAAAAGGUAUGUUUUGUGGGGUGACAUGGAGGGUUAGUUCCUUUGAGACAGAAGAAAGGUAAAAGGAUGAAAUUAUUACAACCAAAUUUUCCAUGUACCCUGACUACCAGUUUUGAGUUUGUCAGCCUAGGGAGGUGUUAUGCCUAAGCAGAGCGUCAGAGUCUCAUACAAGUGCCUUAGUGUGUUCAAUUUUACCUUGAUUUUACAUCAAAUUACUGUGUUGUGGUUUAACCUGGCAGGCAGCUCAGUUCCACACAGCCAUUUUCUCACCUCUCCCUCCCAGUGUGAUGGGGGAGGGAGAGAAUUAGAAAAAAAAAAAAAAAAGCACCACCACGAAGUAGAGUUUGUGAGUUAAGAUAAAACUGUUUAAUAAGACAGAAAAGGAAGAGGAAAAAAAUAGUAGUAAAUAACCACAAAACAAGUGAUACACAACACAAUUAAUUGCUUACCACCCACUGGCAGAUGCUCAGCCAGUCCCUGAACAGCUGCUACCCCCCCAGACAACUCCCCACUGUUCUUCAAGUUUUUUUGCAUGAUGCCAUAUGGUGUGGAAUAUCCCUUUGGCCAGCGUAGCUCAGCUGUCCUCGUUCUGCCCCCACCCAGCUCCUUGUGCCCUCACAGCCCCCUUCACUGGCAGGACAGUACAAGAAACUGAAAAGCUGAAACAUCCCUGGCUCUGAGCAGCACUGCUCAGCAAUAACUGAAAUGCUGUGAAUAAAUGUUCCAGCUGAAACCAGGACAUGCUGGACUGCAGAAAGAUGCCACUCUUGCUUUGAGGAGCACUGAAGCUUGCUACCAGUUAGUCAGAUUAGCACCUGUGGUCCUCAUCCUCAGUACUGGGGCUGUUACUGUUGAUUUCAUCAAAACAUUCUUUUCUGCAAAGAAAGGAGUCCUUACAGUUUGAUAGAGGCCACAGAGGUGUUAAAACGUUGAGCCUGAGGUUUUCACUUAUUGCCACCUUAUUCAGUGAGAGCUCUGCUGAAGCUGAAAAGGUUUCAGCAGUGUGAAAUUGCCGAAGGAAAGGAAACACUCAACAUUUUCAGCUCCAUAGUCACCCAAGCCAUAGCUAGUUCCGGAAGGGUCGAUGAGUGUAUGGACAUGAGUAAGCCUUCUGAGACUAGCGUGGGCUCUAUCAGACCUAGCAGGGGUUUCCCAGGUCAGACCCGAAGCUCUCCACUCGAGAUCUGAAUAUCACUGCAGCUGCAUCUACAGGAAGGCUUGGGCUAACACUGUACAGUCAAAAAUGUCUAUUGUUCCCUUAAUAGACAAAGCUAUAACAGGAAAAAUGUCUUGUGUCAACCUGGCCUUUGAAAUACAAAUGAGUAAGAGCAACCUCACUUUUAAAUGUCAUCAUGUGCUUUGUGCACUCACUUUGUAAUUUGCUUGCUUGCUUUUCUGCGGUUACUGCAUUUCAGGGCUUUUGCUUCAAAUGAUGUUUCAACAAAAGGGAAAGGAGAGGAAAAGGCAUUUCUGGUGUUGCAUGGGGAGUUCUGUGGGGUUGCACUGACUUUGCUUCUACUUUUAAGCAUAAGGACAGGCAUUUUGUUCCUAUAAUGAGCCAGCUGGAAAUACCGGCAGCCUUGUUUUCUUAUUUCCUGAAGUUUGAGAGAAAGGGGCAUGAAGGAGCACUGUGCAUCUCUGCUUUGCAAACUUGGCUUUUUCUAUAUGCCCCACAUCCGAUUCAGAGUCUUUUGGGUCCUGGUGGCUUGCAGUGACAUAAUGAAGCUUCCUCUUGAUGAGGAUGGCCAUCCAGCGCUUGCAGCAUAGCAUGUGCCAUCCAAGCACCCUGCUUGCCAAAUCGCCUUGUGCUUUUGUUCACUGCCUUCUGCAUGGGGCACCUUUGGGGUUUGCUUAAAGUCCUGCAUCUGCUUGGUGGACAUCUGUUCCUUCACAGUGAAUCUUGUAGUGAGUGUGUGCAGAACUGACUCUGGAAUUGGGUAGGUCCUUCUGCAGGGAAGCUGGUUAUGGAAAUUUGGGGUUACACUGUGAUGGGCUGACUGGUUUGGGUGUUUUUGAUCUGUUUGUGAUUAAAUCUGAUGGUGACAAUAAAAACAGAACAAAAAAUAACAUGAAAAGUGAAUAAAAGUCCCAGAAGAAUAUUUUGGGUUGUCAUUGGAUCUCCAUCCACAGAAAUUUAAUUGUUUUAAAGUAAUUCAGUGACUAGCUUGAGUUGGCUUUGCAGCCUCCUGUCUGAGCAAUGGACAUUUCUGUGGAAUUAAUCAGAAAGAACUGCAGUUUCUUUUACCAUGGGCAGAAAUAGCCCUCAGACUGAGGACAAUGUGUAAUAGCAAUGACUGUAGCGGUUGACUUAGCCAGAAAUGCACAGCCAGUAAUAAACAGAAAAAUCAUCAGGAAAUAUGUACUGAUGAAUCUGUGCUGAAAAUUGCUCAGAGCUUUACUGUGAUGAGUGGGUAAGGGGGUUGGAAAGAGCAGUGGGAGUUUUGGGGUGAGGUGCUUAGACUGGAGGCAUACUGUGAGGUGGGAUGGGAUUGGGUGGGACAAGACAGCAUGGCAUGGGAUGGGAUAGCAGGGGAUGGCAUGGCAUGGCACGGUAUAGGAUGGCAUUGGAUGGGGCAGGGUAGGAUGGGAUGUCCAUGUACAUGCAGGUGAGUGGCAGAUCCACAGUUCAUUGGUCCUGGGAUUCAGCAGUUUGCUGAGUUGAAGACAAUGCUUGGACAGUCAUUGGUACUGCUCACACUGUUUUAAUUUGAUAAGGUAGAUGAUCUGUUUUGAAAACAAGAACGGGAGGAGUGGACGUCUUUUCAUCACUUUGUUGAUGUUGAAAUACCAUGUUGCAAUAUCUUAUGUUUUAAGAUAUCUAAAUGUACUUCACAAGUUGACUUUGUAUUUUUCGUGUUUGUCUGCCACUCAAAGCGAGCUACUUUUCAAGUAGCUGUUGAAACUCCCCAGGCUGCCCUGGAACCUCUGCAUCAUCCCAGCAGCAGCCCUGGGCAGGAAGGAGAUGCUCUCCGCUUUCAGGUGGCCCAGAAAAGGGCUCAUCCUACUCUCAUGGCUCAGCUGGUGCAAAACUAUGUUCCUUCCAUGAGGGAGACUGAAUUCAUCCUGUCAGGUGUCUAGGAAGGGCUGAUAUGAGCAGCAUCGUGUUUCCACUUUGUUUUAGCACCCACAGCCUUGAAGACCUCGUAUCUUGACACUUUCGGAAUUGGUUGGUGAUGUGCACAGUGGGCUCUCAGCUCAUUCUCCAAUUUUUCUGCCUUUCAGUGAAGAUUUUCCCCUCUCUGCUUUAAGCAUAUCACUUAAAACCACAAACAGUCUGGUGAUGUGGAGCAGGCUGCUGGUGCUCAUCCCCGUGGCACUUAAAGCACAGAGGAUGGUGUAAGUGGGAGAAACUCAUUGAAUCAUAAAAUGGCUUAGGUUGGAAGGGACAUUAAAGAUCAUCUAGUUCCUGCCAUGUGCAGGGCUGCACCGCACCAGCUCAGGCUGCCCAGGGCCCCAUCCAUCCUGGCCUUGAAUGCCUCCAGGGAUGGGGCAUCCACAGCUUUUUUGGGCCAACCAUUCCAGUGCCUCAUCACCCUCUGUGUAAAGAAUUUCUUCCUCACAGUGCCAUUUCUGGGGUGAAGCCCCAGCCCUGCCAGUCACCACAGCCUCCUGCAAGGCUCCUGCACACAAAAAGCUGAGAUUCGGUGUGGCAAAACAGGGAGUUGUGAAGAGGCUUGGGGACAGCAAGUCUGUGCCAGCUCACAGUUUUGUAUAAGUUAAAUAAAUGUUGUCUUUUGAAGGAAGGUGUUGAAAUGCUCCCGUGGCCUGUUAAAAACAGUGUUGCGUUGGGUGAAGAGCUGCCAUCCCCUUUUUCCAUUUCCUUCUCCAUUUCUCUUUCCAUUUCCUUUUCUGUUUCCAUUAAUAACUUUAAGGUUUUUUUUUUGCUCCACGCUUUUUUAACUUUUUGUUCACUUACGACUUUCAAGGUGUGCUUUUACUGAGUUUAAAUGCUUUGCCUUUGCUUUCUUGAAAAUCACAGUCAGUAGAAUGACUGCUGUUAUCUCAGGUUUCCCCGGGCCUUCCCAUGGGCUGCUUUUGAUUUCAAAGGUACAUUUGUUGAAAAAAGGAAGAUUUCCACAAAAAUGCCCACUGCACCUCCAACUCGUUCACACAGGGCUCCUGUUGUGCAGCUGUCCUGUUUUACCGAGCAGCUGGAGUUACAGGCUGAUUAAAGGAGUAGGAAACCUCUUUCAAUUUAUUUCUGCUGCAUGUAUGUGACUUUGGGUGUGCUCGGUUUUUGGGUGAGCUCUGCAGGGAAAACGUGUACUUAACGUGACUGAACCUCCUCUUUUGUAAGUUGAGAAUUGAUCCAAAUUUACCACUUGCUUCUUCUUUGAGAGCUUUUGGUAAUGGGGAUUAUUUAAAUCCAUGUUUUUCCUUCAGUUAGUUUUGCUCUGGGGUGGAGCUCAUCCAAUGCAAUCCUCCCUGGGGGCGAGGUGGGAAUGAGAGGGGUGCUGGGCACAUCACUUUGUCACCAUGCACCUCAUGAUCCUCAGCACUGCAUGCUGCUCCUGCUCAGCACUGCCCACCUUCGCUCCUUGUGCUAACAUAGCUGCCUUUCAGCUUAGGCUGCACAGCACCUCUCCAUAUACUUUUUUUUUUUAACAUGAAUUUGCAAGGGAAGGUUGAUUGAAGUUGGAUCCAAGGCUCUUCCCUGUUGUCAUGUUGCAGGAGAGCAACUUGAGCUUCAUCAAGGCUUCUGCGAGUGAAAAGUGUUAGGUCUCAGUGGCUGCAUUUGGUUCAGAAGCAGAAAAUGGGAGCAGACCUGAGUCUGAUGGAUCUGGCAGCCCAUGAACUCCCCCCUUUACAUGCUUUCCUUGUGUAAUUACAGUAAUGGAAGUCACUGACACUGUCCAGCUGAAGAGGAGCUGCAUGGUUUUGCUGGGCAUUGCAGGCACUUCCUAAUGCAUCAGCGCCCAUGAGUCUCGUGGGUGCAGCCUUCACCCUGUCCCUACCGAGCAGGCUCCAGUCUGGCUGCUCCCAUCUAAUAGCUGGGAAAUUAGGGCUGGGAGCAAGCAAGAGCUGCUUGCAGUGACGCAGAGGGCUUCAGUGGUGAAGCAGAGGCUGAAACUCAAGCAAGGAGCCUAUAGAUGAAGUGCUGAGCACUUCACAAUGGCAUGAUGCACUUCCAUAACCUUGCAGAGUACUUGUGUAAUUUUUCAGAUAGAUGAAGCAGUAAGUAAGCCAUCUGUGACCCCACCAAAACAAUUUCCAAAGGCAGUAGUAUUAAAGGAAAAUAGAAAAAUCAAACAUUGAAGUGUAUGGAGGUCUGCCUCAGGCAGUUCUCAGUGCCUACAGGGCAGGGAGCUGGGGAGAGGAGGAGGUUAGGUGGGUUACAGUCCAGAGAAUGAUAUUGAAAUACAUGAGCCAUCCCUGGGAAAGGUGGAUCUGCAAGCACUGGGUGAAAGAGCAUGAGGAGGGGGGUGGGUUAGGUGGGGGUGUGGAUUCCAGGAAAGGGUUUAUUUCUUAGAUUGCAGAUACUUAAUGCUAUUAGCAUCCAAAUGGCUCCCGCUGGUCUUUGAAGUCAGCAUCUCAUUGAGAAGUAAAGAGCAAAAGAGGUGUGGGGAAUAAUGCAUUUAUUUCAUUUCUGGCUGGUGAAUAUAUUUCUUUGCAAUGUUGAGUUAGCAACGAGACUGUGCAUGGUUUAUUUUAGGAGCACUGGCUCUUCAAAACAUGAGGUAUUUAUCACUUCGGUUGUUUUUUUUUCCUGUUUCAUUAUGUUUUUUUGGUUUUAUUUGUUUUUUGUUUUUGUUUUUUUGUGUGUGUGUGUGUGUCUUAGUACUCAAACUUGCUUUAUACAGAAGACAGCAGAAAGCCACAAAAUUGGAGCCUCAGUAAUUUCUUUACACCCACCAUUUGCCAGUGUUCUGGAUUGGAAACCAACUGCAGCAGCUACUGAGAGUCUCAUUCCUCCUCCACGUGAACCUCCUUCCAGGGAACUGUGAAAAUUCCCACUUCCAUCUCCUUCGCGUACUGGGGUUUCAUGACCAUUAAAACCCGUUCCUGGAACCAUGGGAUGGCCCCACAGCAUGCUUUUGAUCCAGCUCAGAUGUGGGCUUCUCCGUGGGAUGAGUGCCCAGCAAGUCCAGCCAUCAAAACCUACCUAGACCCUAUGGAGCUGCAUGCUCUGACUCAUCCCUACUGAAAUGUCCCCACACCCUGCCCCAGGGCUGUGCAUUCCUGGGCACUGGUUGCCUGUGCCUCAUGAGGUCUUUCUACCAAACUCAUCACUUUGGCUUGGUUCUGCAUCACCACACUGAAACUGUGCAAACUGCAAGCCACCAAACUGUACCUUUGAGCCACCUCACGGGGCACAUGUCCCACAGUGGCUUGGCUGCUGGACCACUCAGGGUGGGAUGCGCAACACACUGCAAGGAAUUUAGUUCAGCACUGGUGCUGGUAGAGCACGGAGCUGGGAGAGCAGCAUCCCUAAUUCAGGUUGAUGCGUGGCUGUGUUGGAGCCCUUUCUGUAAACCACUUCAAAGGGCGUUUUGCUGUUUUGUCUCUUCAUUCACUGUUCUUUCCCACUUGUGCAUUUUGUGCAAUUUUAAAAACUUCUUGCAUGUAUUCCAUUCCUCUUAUCCUAGACCAAGUGGCUAUCUUCUCUUCUUUCUUAGCUGGCUUGUUCAUGCAGAGGCAAGGAGUAGCAAAACAUGUUUUUCCUUCUGAAAAGAGAGAAAAUAAAUGUUUGAUACCUGAUAAUAGUUUUUGUUGUUUGUCUGAGGCAGCUUGAAAUCCUUAGGGAAAAUCAGAAUUGUUCCAUUAGGAUGAGCUGCUUGCAAGCAUCCUGCCAAACUGGAACAGCCCUUCAAGCUGUACUGAAAUGAAUUCAAACCCUCCACAGAUAAGCACAACAUAGGGUAUAAUUUUACUUCAACAGAAGGAAAAAGUCCAGUACAUCAUCUCCUUUUAUUUCAGUGUCUGGUUGUCUUGACACCCAUGUACAUAUAGAAAUAUGCUUUCUUCACAUGUAUUUACUGAGGCACUCAAGCUAAAUGCAAUUGAGCCUGGUGGUUGCUGGGAUGGUUCAUCGUGCACGUCCAGGUGCCAUCUGUACACAGGGAAGCUGGCAAUGCAGUAAAUGGCUGUUUUCCCUUCUUUAAGAGAUGCAUGUUGGGGUUGACUUUUGAUGAUCACUUAGGAUCUUAAGCUUUUGUGCUUUUGCAUUUACCUUUGUGUUGGCUAAAUUUCAGUUCACUUACUUCCCUGUGAACAAUUCUUUUUUUGUUGAAUAAACUAUUCCUUGCAAACCAUAACACUGAUGUCAUUGUUGUUGUGGGGGUUUUGUUUGGGUUGGGUUUUAAGCAGCUGUUGCCACCCAAUGGUGGAUUUCCCUUCAUUAUAUAUCUUCCAAAUACACCCUUUAACUGGUUUUCCACCAUUCUCACCUUGUGGAUUCCUAAAUAUUUUUAUUUAGUUUUGUGGAAAUGUGAGUUCCUCUUGAGGAAAUGGAAGCCUCCUGACAAUAAGCUUGCCUUUCUUAGUUGUUUUCCAUGAACUUGUAUGGUAUGCUAUACAGAUCUCUGUCAAGUUUCCAAAGCAAUUAGCUUGAAAGCCACCAUUCAGAUGGGGCAGAGUUGUAUACUUAAAUCUGUUCUUUCUAGUAGUUAUUGGUUAUGCCUGCUAGGAAAUUUCUGGAUCCUACUGGGUCCACAGUGGGUUUUUAACCCUCCCAUUCUCAUGGAACUGUUGUGGAAGGCAGAAUCAAAGUCUGCUUGGCAUUUGCCCAGAGCACGCACCUCAAACAUACAAGCUUGGGCAGAGUAUUGUGUUCAUGUGGCUCCAUGGCUUUUGUCUUAAGCUGAAUUGAGUCCAGUUGACCUUAGCACAAGUGGAGCAAGCCAAGGUCUGCCCAAACAUGUCUAGGUAGAUGUGUCCCACUAGAAUUCCGUGAAAUUCCUGCUCCAUCUGCUCGUCUCAGUCCUAGAUCUUGCCUUUGGCUGCCCCUAGCACUGGACAUAUAGAACAUGCAUAGCUAUAAUCAAAGUGAUGCUGAAAAUGCCUGCAAUUUAAAAGUACUGUGUUAAUAAAACAGAAGGAGUUGUUGAUAUUCAACUAAGCAGAAUCCUGUUGCUUCUCAGAGAAAAGUGUUUUCAUCUUUGGAGCAACUCUGGCCAAAAGCUCUGGUAGUGACUUAAAGGGCAGGUGAUUACAACAUGAAAAACACAGUCUAGCCCAAGAAACACUUUUGUGUGUGUAUUUGCAAAAUUUUUUGUUUUGAGCCAUGGAAAAUGCUUCUGUCUGAGGCUCUAGUUGGGGCCUGGGGGAAAGCAAAGCAACUCCCCCUGCAUGGGGCAGGUUGGCAGUGAUGGGGCUGAGUCCCAGCAAGGAGCACUGAAAGCGGUAAGAAAGCUCUCACUUUAUUUCUAAGGUCUAGUGCGUUGUCUGUGGCUUGUGCCUGGCUUCUCUUGUUUCUGUGCAGACUCAAACCAAGUUCAAAUAAUGAUGAAAAACAAAACAAACAAAAAAGUGAUGCAACGCACGUCUCAUAUGACUAUUGGAUUUUCACUAGGCAUUGAGCUGGUGGCACCUGCAGUGAUGUGGGGCAGGAUCAUCCCCCUUAGCAUUGCAGAUGGACUGGCCAUGGAAGUCCUUUCUGAACAGACAUAGCCAAGGGAAAGUUGUAUCCACAAGGAAUGUGGUUUUUUUUUUUUUUUUUGUUUUUUUGGUUUUUUUUUGUUUUUUGGGUUUUUUUUUGAAGAUGCCUGUACAUCUGCUGAGUAGCAUACAUAGAGCCUUGCAAAGCUACUUUGCUGAAUUGCCAAUGUCAGAGCUGCCUGAUGUGUGUUCCUGGCCAUAGGAUGCCUUCUGUGCUACCAAGAGUGAUGUAGAGAUGCUCAUAGUAACAGGUAGGAAUCUUCUGUGAUUUAACUGAGAACAAGUGAGACAUUUUAUAUACCCAGAUGCAACAACAGUGCACCUGACUGAAGUACAGACAGACUCUUAUUGCACUGUGAAAUGCCAGCAGGUAGCUUGUGGUCUCCUGGCAACAUUUUGUGAGUGGGCUUUUGGGCCAUUUUCUGUGCUGUAAAUGUAGGAUUCAUACAUAGUACGAAGGGAUAUCAGACCUUGAUGGGUGUUAAACAUGCUAUUCACGCCACUGUGACAAGAGGAGCAUUAACUGUGCUCCAACAUUCACCUUGUACAAAUGGUGAAUCAAAGACUGUCCAUCCCCCAAGGAGGUCAUGGUCUGGAACACUGACAGAAGGAUGUGGUUGGAUACAUGCAGAUGGGGGAGUAAAAUGAAAAUGCCAGGAUGCUAUUGAUCAUCUUGUCAGAUGCAUCUCAGGACACCAGGACACUUACUGUGAGGUUUCUUGUAAAUGUCAUGGCAAAAAAGAGUUUUGAUGAAGUCAGUGAGAUUGUUUGGCAGAUAUCAGGGGAAUUCCUACCAGGCAAGAAAGGGAGCAGGAAAGGAGAAAGUAUUUCCUGUCAACAUGUUUUAUAUUGAUUAGCCCAGGAGACCUGCUUGCAAAGAAGUAGAUUUUGUAAGAGUGAGCAGCAGGUAACAGUGUAGGGUCUGAGUUAGGCCUUGAGAGUUAGGGAGCUCUUGUGUGAUGAGGUAGGGAAAGAGGGGAUCUUUGAAAAGGUGAAGUGGGAUAGAGAAAAUAGAUGUUACAUUUCUGAAGGAAGGGUUGUUGGGUUGACUGGGAUAUGGGAAAAUAAAAGCUUGGAUGGCAGCAGUGGAUUUGGAUGCUGGAUGAAAGGGCAUCCAAAAGAUGUCCCAAGACAUUAUUUUGAACUGAAGUAGAGAGGGAUGUUUGUGGGUCAUGUGUGAGGAGAAGAUCUGGGUGUGUGUUUUGAUGGAGGUGAAGGGAAGGUAGGGAAGAAUGGGACCAUGGUCAAAACCCACAGAAGGGAGACCUGAAGUUGGGCUGGGGAAUUAUGAAGAGAUAGGAAAGGAGCAAGGCAGGAUUCUUGGGAAUUCUGACCUUUGGUUAAAAACCCGCUGCAUUUUUCAGCAAAACCAUGAACAAACAAGUACUGUUAGUGCAUCCAGACCCAGACUGGAUCCUCUGUAGCUCAACCUAUAAAGAUAGUGAAAAGGUUUGAGUGUAACAUGAUCAGCAUCGGCUUAGUGUGUGUGUGUGUGUGUGUCAUGGACCUGUGCUGCACAGCGAGGUGCCUCUGCAUGCUCCCAUUCCAUCGCUGCACACUUGUGAUGGGAUCCUAUUCCCAUAAAAUAGUCAUGUGCUGACGUCUCCUCCUGGUUACACGAGCUGGCUCUGGAAAACCUCAGCUCCUAGAUUACAAACAUAGCAGGGCUCUGUCUGCAAAGGUGUAAGGUUACAAAACACACACACACUCACGCAGCUUAACCGAAACCGCCUCAUUUUUAGCAGUUGUGAGGGUUUAUUCACUGCAGGGCUGUGGAGGAAUGCAGGAAUGUGAGUGGCGUUAAACCUAUUCAUUUGGAGGGGGAGUCCUCUCCUCUCCCCUGCUCCAGCCUGCUUAGCUUUAAUGGUAAUUGCACCUCUUGGCUGGCUGAGCUGGCCGUCUGCCCUCCCGGUGCAGCUGGGGAGAAGAACUGGAGCCAGGAGGAGCAAAGUAGCUGUCAGUGUGGGGUGGCUGUGUCAGUGUGGGGCUGUCCCUUGUCCUGUGAGCCCACAGCCUCCCUGCUUUAACCUAGUGCUUGGAUGGUGAGAAGGAGGCAUGCUUUUUAGCUGUGGAGUUUGGGCAGGGAGGAGUACAGUCAUAGCCUAGCUCCUAUGUAUCGUGCUGGGGAAUGCAUUUCCCUUUCAUUUUUCUAUAUUUUGUGCUUAAUGUUAAUCGUUCCCAGACGCACCUAACAGUACCUUGGCAUUUAAAAAUCAAAUACUGAUCCUAAAAGCCUUGCCACUUCAGAAAAGAAAGGAAGACAAACAAACAAACAGAAAAAACAAGAGUUUUUUGUUGGCUUGUUAAGAAUGUGAGAGAUGCAGUAAAAUCGGCUUUUUGGUUUAUAAGUGCUGCCCAUUCCCAGGGGAGGAAUGCGGACCUCUGCAUGGCCAACUGCCACCGUCACCACUUCCAGCCUUGCUGCUGAGGUUUCAUGUGAAGCCAAAGGGCCUGGGAAGUUUGGGAAACCAGUGACACCGGAUCCGUACCACAAAGGUGAAUGCUGCAUGCUCGCUGCGUGUGUGUGCAGAGACACGGUGGCUCCGGCUUUUGCCUCCAGGAGAGAGCUGCCCACGGACAGUCAUGCUGACAGUGUAACAGAAGCAGCUGCGUGUGAGCCCCAGAGAUGUGUGGAGGUUUUUAUUUAAGUCCUGUCCUUAAAGGAUGCUGCCUUGAAGGGUCUUUAGUGAGGAUGGAUGCAGCCUAACCCAGUCAGUCUGUCCUGCCACUAUCUGGGAAUACCAGCACUUCCAGUGAUGCAUGCUGCUGGGAGACUGUUGUGCCUGAAGGGUUAAAUUAGUGGUGCUUUCAAAGCUGGGAUGCAUUCAGAGUAUUGCAAUUGCACUUACUGAUACCGGGAAAUCUUAGUUCAACCCUCUUUCCCAGCAGGUCUGCGUGAUGGUGAAGUGGUUGUUGCAUACCUGCACUGGGAUGGAGCUGAGAUGCUCAGGCGUAGUGCUUCUGCACCCAGUGUCGGGACAUUAUUGCCUUGUUCCUGUGCUUCAUCCAGAUAGAGCUGAAGCAGAAGUAGCCCUCCAUGCUCCAUUGUCAGACACAUUCAUUUUUGGUCAUGGGCAUCACUGAUGGAUAGCUCCUGUCCUGUCCUGUGGUAACGUUGGCAGACUUCUCAGGAGGUGUGAACUUUGGACACAUCAUCCUUAGCUGUUAAAGUAGUAAUCCUUUAGUUGUUCAUUUGCAAGAUAGUUUAGGAGGUUAAGAGAAGGACAACUGAAUUAAUGUGAGGAAUAUGAGGGGAUGGGGUGGGCAGCCUGGGGUCAAUAGAGCAAGUGGAUUAAUUAAAGAAGAGUAAACAGGAGCCUCAUGUGUCUGUGGCAAAAUGAGAAACACUGUUCUCUCCACUUGACACAUUUAGUGCCCUGGAUUGCCAAGCAGCAGUUCUUCACAGCAUGUAGGAGAAUAGAAAUACAUCGCUUCAUCUCACAACUUUGAACUAAAAUAAAGAUUUAGGUAAGACGCUAGGACAAUUUUUUUCACUGAGAGGGCAGUGAGGCACUGGCACAGUCUGCCCAGAGCAGCUCUGAUUGCCCCAUCUCUGGAGGUGUUCAAAGCCAGGUUGAAAGGGACCCUGAUACAUUUGGUGGGUGGCAACCCUGCCCAUGGCAGGGGGUUGGGACUGGGUGGGCUUUGAGGUCUCUUCCAACCCAGAUCUUCCUAUGGUUCUGUGAUCUUGGUCGUCCUCCAGUUGGAGUUCUGCUCAUUGUGGGCAUUUCUGUUGUCCAUGUCCAGGCCAUCUGCUGCCUUGGGCUGGACAGAGAUGGGGGAGUCUUUGGGAAUUUGGGGAACACUGCAGCCAUAUGAAGGCAGGAUUGAUGUGGUGCACAUGAGUGCCAUGUCCAGGUUGUUGGUCUUCUGGCAUGGCUGUGUUAUUUGUUAUUAACAAAAGUUACAUCUGUGGAGACUACAGGAAGACCCCAGUGAGUUUCUUGCGGUUGAAUCUAAAUCUUCCCCUUCUGCUUCCAGACUUUCUGUGUCAGUGCAGCUCUUCCACCUGUCUUCUUUCCCUCGCCCUCACAAUUCCCAUCAUGACAGUUUGAAAUCGGAGCCAGCUCCUACCUGUGCUUCUGCCCCAACCCUCCUGUUCUUUACUGGCUACAGACGGAGCUCCUUCAGCCCCUGCAUUUCAGGAAAGAUGAACAGCUGGAGUUGAUUGCUGGGUCACUCCCAGACCCAAAGUGGUUGUCGGGGGAGGUAUUUUCCAUGUUGCAAU
ensembl:lncRNA